UAGCCUAGCACAUGUUGGUUAUUUAUUAAACAAUUAUUAAAUUAAUUCAAAUAGCCACCAAAUUGUGUUACUCAAACCAGCAGUUGGGGGGAAGGAGGACAAUGUACUUGGAUUUAUCUUUUUCACCAAAGGCUUUAAUUUCAUCUGGGCUGUGGAUCAUCUUUCCAUUGCAUAAGUGCUACUAUUGCUGUUGCCCAUGCUGGACAUGGCCCUGAGUUCUUCACAUCCACACCUCACUUUAUGCUGACAAAAAAAAGAAAAAGAAUUGACACAUCUCACUUCAGAUGCUAAAGAAGUGAGGCAUCUCACCUCAGUUGCUAUAAACCUGGUGCGUUUAUGCUGACACAAGUGACCAGAAUCAGAUAAGUUAUGGGACUUUCAAUAAUUUUUCGGGCAGCUAUAAAGGAGGAAGCACAUCCCUUCAUUUUCCUGCUGAAAAUCACCAACCAGGGCAUGGAAAAAUCCCAAACCCGGCACCUCUGCUUUAACCAGCCUUGCUGGUGUCCUGGCAGACCAAUUUGGAAACCAUGAUUAAUUCCUUAGUAAACAGAAAAUAGACUCUGGAGCCAAGAGAAGCCAAAUUUGAGUCACUCUCUGGAGACUACAUUUGGCCGAUCUAGCUCUACCUCCUCCUCCAGGAGCUGGCUCACUUGCCUGGUGACUUUCAGCAAACAGAAAGGCCUUUCCAUGGUGGCAGACUAGCACAGUGAAGCAGAGACCAAAGCAUGGUUGCCAGUGAUGACCAUGAGCUGCGGUAGCCCAGAUCUAUGCAGGGAUCACCAUGGCCUAUAUGGAUCAAAUGAAAUUGGUUGAAACCCUAACCUAUAUGAAAUGGAAAACUCAACAAGCUUCCCAUUUUCUCCAGCAACUCUGGGGAAAGAAGACAAUGUGCCUGGGUUUCUCUUUGUCAUCAAGGGAGAACUUCAUCUGGUCUGUGGGUCAUGUUGCCUUUGCAUAAAUAUUGCUACUCUGUUGUCCAUGCUGGACAUGGCCCUGAGUCCUACACAUCUGCACCUCACUUUAGGUACUUCCCCAAAAUACCACCCAUUCCAGGUUCUGGGUGUAACUAACUUUUAUGGAAGAUUCAGAGCAAUGGAGAAGUUUUACAUGGAAACACCAAAAAUAAUUUAAAAUAUCAUUGUUCUGUAAAGCCUUUCUACCACUCUGGCCCCAGAAGUUUCUGACCAGUUGUCCUUUCUCCUCAGGCUCUGGCCUCCUGCUCUGCCCACUUCUUCACUUCCUGCUUCCUCCCCUUCCCUCUAUCUCCAGUUAAGCCUCUCUCCCUAAUUCAUGUCACUUUAUGUAAACGUAAUUUUGAUUUCCCAUCUCCUUGCAGACUGUGUCCUCACCUUGAACUCUUAAAACAUUUUCAUAAAGAAAGACACCUCUUUUGCAAACAGGAAAUGUAUGGCUCAUGGUUCAAAUACAUUUACAAACACAUACACCUGUACCUGUUUAUUACCAUCAGAAAACACAGGAGCAGAGGUACAAGCUUCCAGAGGGUGGACCCAUAGGACAAGAAUGGUAGGGCUGGGCAAAAGGUGAGGUUUUUAAAAUGCAUUUUAAUUUUUACAUGUGAGUACUACUUUUCCCUUACUUUCCUAGGGUGUGUAUUCACUGGAAAUACUAAAGAUUCUUGGUUGCUGUGAGACUGUCUGAGGCCAGGUGGGCCCUGAGAAGCCAGCUCCCCCUACUCACCAACAUAUACAUGGUGCUCCUGGCACCUCAGGCUGUCACUUCACUUUCUCUGGGUGCCACCUGUUAUUUCAAUCUCUACGCUUUUGUUCAUGCUGUUUCACUCCCGCCACUCCCCAACACACUCUUUUGCCUCCUGCAAUGCUUUUCUAACUUUCACCUCCUGAAUCACAUCCAUUCUUCAAGGUUUUUCUGCAUGAAAUCUCCCAGAUUGAGGCAUUUGGUUUUAUUCUUUCUCCUUCUUAUUUGUUUCAUUUACAUAGGCAUUUCCUCCCUACCAGUAAUAUGUCUGGCACUUUCUCUGUGUUCCCCUAGAUGAACUAGCACAGUUUCAGACACACAAUAGAUGCUCAGCAAUGCCUAUUGAAUUGGUUGAAACAGAUCACAGUGUCUCUAAACCAGAGUGUAAUUAACCACAAAUAUUAAUUUGCCCAGUUGAGGUCAGCUGAAGAAACCUGAAACCCUGGAAAUAGCAUUGUCAGGAGAUUUAGGUAGUUUCUAAUACAAAAUCUAGUAUCUACAUUUUUUUGUGAAUUUGGGCCGGUUAUUUAACUUCUUUGAGCAUCACUUUUUAAUCUGUAAUAUAAGAAAAAUAAAAAUACUUGACCUGCUCAUCUCAUAUAGUAUGCAGUUGUAAGAAUUAAAUGGGUACAUAUUUAUAUACAUAUUCUUUUAUAUAUUCAUAUAUAGAGCUAUCUAUAUAUAUAUAACAAUGAUCUGAGAAGCAUUGUGCAGAAGACAAAUUAUUACAAGUUCCAGGUGUUCCAGAUCUCUUUUUAAAAGCUCGACUAUUUUAUCAAGUAGCAUAGAUUAUACAUAGACUAUCUUCUAAUAUUUAUUGUGAAACAUUUUCCUAUAAAUAAAUGCCAAUAUUAUUUCCCACAAAACAUUUCCUUAACCAUAAAAAAGCUUUAUGACAGCUUUCUAACCUAUGCAAAUCUCACCUAUAAGCAAAAUAUGUCCUGUUUUUUUUUCCCUCCUGUCAAGAGAAUUUAUUUUCUUUCCUGUGGGAUGUGCUAUCAUAUGAAAAUUAAGAUAUAUAAAGGCCAUGUUUGAUGCCAAUAUUAUGAAAAUUAUUACACUUUAACAUUUGAUGGCAAGCUGUGUUGGGAAAAAUGUUUAAGAAGUGGCAAAUUUUACAAAAGGAUCACUAAUUUUAGAUAUUUAGAAAAUAAUAACAAGUAUAUUUUCUUAUAAGACUCUAACAAAUUUUUAAGUAGUUUAGCAUAUAUCUCCUCAUUCUUUAUGAGGAGUGUAUUCCUUUCCUGUGGCUUCUGUAACAAAUUGCCACAAACUUGAUAGCUUAAAACAACGGAAAUUCACUUUCUCACAGUUCUAAUUCAGAACUAUGAUUCGGAAAUUUGAAGUCAGUUUCACUGGGCUGAAAUCAAGAGGUCAGCAAAGCCGCCUGUGUUCCUUCCACAUGCUGUAGGGGAGAAUCCAUUCAUUUCCUUUUCCAGUUUCCGGUGGCUGCCCUCAUCCCUUGGUUGUUACUGCGUCACUCCAGGCUCUGCCUCUGUGAUCACAGUGCCUCCUCCUCUUCCAUGUGUGUAAUCUCCCUCUGUCUCUCUCUUAAAAGGGUCCUUGUGCCGGUAUUUAGGAUUCAUCCAGGAGCUGACCUGGUAUCCUAACACAGAAGAUUUGGGGUGUUUGGUCAUUUAUUUUCACCGGCCACUACCAGAAUAUUCCAUGUGGCAGAUUCAAAUUGCAACAAAGAUUUUUUUAGGUUAAAUGACAAGGACUAUCGUUGACAGCCAAGGAAAUACCUCAAACUUGAAUAACACCAAGGGACCCAUACAAAUGCCACCAAUGAUGCUGGAAGUGCUCCCA
rnacentral:lncRNA from 1 species